GCACUGCUGAGGAGUCCCAUACUAGGACGAAACGGCUGUUCAAUAC
rnacentral:hammerhead_ribozyme from 1 species